GAUGAGGGCACCUGGUUUGACCUCUGGUCAAUACUGGGACGUCCGAGUCUUUCUUUUGGGGAAACUGGUGCCCUUCACUGGGUGCCAUGCGGAACCAAGACGAUUACCUUGAGAAAAAUAGAGUGUUCAAAGCAGGCUUUUGCUUGAAUACGUUAGCAUGGAAUAAUAAGAUAGGACGUUGGUUCUAUUUUGUUGGUUUUCAGGACCAAUGUC
rnacentral:rRNA from 1 species